GCUGGGCAAGGUGGUGCACGCCUGUAAUCUCAGCAGCUGGAGAGGCUGAGACAGGAGGAUCAAGAGUUCAAAGCCAGCCCCAGCAAAAUCAAGGCACCAAGCAACUCAGUGAGACCCUGUCCCUA
rnacentral:sRNA from 1 species